CUUCGGGGACCUAGAGGAAGCAUCUAGGAUCGGAGAGCUACUGGGUGGGAGCGGAGAGGAAAGUAUUGUAUAGAGGGUGAAUAAAUGUCCUCUCAGAGAGCUAUAAGCUGUGAAGUAUAACUGGGCGCGAAUACACAAAGCAGGCUAUGUAUAUACUUCUCCAGCAUGUGUACUCAUCCAACAAGAGAUGAGAGCAUGAACUGCUUUGUCUCCACGUCUUGCUGUAUAAACACUGUCGGCUAGGGAAUUGUGUGUGUGUGUGUGUGUGUGUGUGUGUGUGUGUGUGUGUGUGUGUGUGUUUAAGUCCUUUACACUUAGGGGGAAAAUUCUGCUGCAGUUGCAGAAGAGAUUUAUUCCUGGCCAUUGCCAGAGAGUUGUUUGAAUUUUUAGGCAAAGCAAUCACCUUCCACCAUCAUAAUCCCAUAGUUAUUGAGUUAACUCUUCGGCUAACUAGGGAGUUUGUCCAAGUGUUAAACUUCCCCUACUUCUGCCCCUCACUACUAGUGAGAUUGGUUGUUCAUUCAGAGAGAGGGAAAUGAAAUUAAGAGCUAAGAAUAUGAGACCCUGGGUCCUAGAUGGGUUUCCCCCACUCUUCCCCGCAUCCCACCUCAGUGAUGCCUGGAAGAUUUUCUUUCAGCUUCCUAAUUCUCAAAGCUUGAAUAAGAAAAAGGAAUUGGGUUUUUUUUGUUUGUUUGUUUGUUUUUGUUUGCUUGUUUUAUAGCUAUUUGGGGGAAAGAGACGGAUCCAAAGAAGAUAUAGGACGGGCAGCUUGAAGUGCAACAGAGAUCACAGUGGAGAAAAGUUCUUGUUUUGUUUGGAUUUUUUCUGACAAGGAUUUUGCACUGAAAAUGAAGUGGGGGAAGUGCCUUCGGAAUCAGAUUCAAACCGCUGACAGAAAUCAUCAUGAUCCAGGACCACUUCCCUUCCCAAAAAAUUUGUGGACAACUAAAAUAGAAGCAAUUGAAAAUCAUAAGGAAUAUUACUGGUGGAGGUGGCUAUUAUUGUUGUUGUUGUUAUUGUUAUUUUUAAUAGAGUUGUCCAGGCUUGCUGACUACUCAUUUAGCCUCACAAAAUCUGACCAUUUAAGAAAGGCCAAGUCUGUCAGACAUGCCAGGAAUGUAUUUAUAAAUUCUUCAUGCUGUGUUUUCAUUUGCAGCUGCCGUUUGUGUUUCAUAUUGUAAGGUCAAAGCCACUCCAGUUAUUAAAUCUUUUCUAUAAUGCUAUAAGUCACCUAUCUAGUCUGAGACUAAGCUAAUUUCAGCCACAUCAGACAACAUAUGAUGCUGUUAAGAAAAGACUGAACAUGCUCAGAAAGCAAGCAGAUUUAGCGCAAACCUGUGGCACGGUGAUGGAGAUUUUUUCCUUAUACUUGGUCAGAAGAUCCAGUCUGGAAAAUGGUAGAAAAGGUACCUAUCUAAUCUCUACCCAAAUUUCCUAUUAAAAAACUAUAACAUAAUGCCUCAGAAUGAAUUCUGAGUAGCACAAACCACAAAAAGAUGAAGUGAAGUAAUUUUUCAACCCAAAACAACUUGAGAGGCCAGCACAAAGGAUCUAGUACACUGGAGUGAGGUUAAGUGCAAAGCGACGGACUAGGGCAGGCCCCAUUACAAUGGACCCUAGGCUCAGCUAAAGCAGUAGCAAACGUUUCAGGAACUCUCAGCCACAGAUGGUAAGAGGUAUAGGACAACUGCUCCAAAAGAUAUUACUGGUUCUGGGCACAAGACUCUUGUUGCACUGCCCAUACAUAGGUCCAAUAAGCAAUCCUGGGCCAUGUUCUCAGAGGAAGGAGGAGUACUAUCACACACCAGCACUUGAGGCCACAGGAGAGGAGACCCUGAUCACAGUUCCAAGGGGUAAAAAAGUACUUGUGGUUACCUCCAGAGUAGAGCACAAGCCUGGAGAAUAUUAAACACACCUUUUCUUACAUCAUAUCACCUUAGAGGAACUAAAAGCAGAUAGAUCCCCAGAGAUAGCACUGAAG
rnacentral:lncRNA from 1 species